rnacentral:rRNA from 1 species
AAAAUUGAGAGGCUCAACCUUCUUCGAGCCGUUGAAACUGGUUUUCUUGAGUGAGCGAGAAGUAUGCGGAAUGCGUGGUGUAGCGGUGAAAUGCAUAGAUAUCACGCAGAACUCCGAUUGCGAAGGCAGCCUACCGGCUUCUGUCUGACGCUGAGGCACGAAAGCGUGGGUAUCGAACAGGAUUAGAUACCCUGGUAGUCCACGCAGUAAACGAUGAAUGCCGGCUGUCCGGUCCGACUGAGGGCUGGGUGGCGAAGCGAAAGCGAUAAGCAUUCCACCUGGGGAGUACGCCGGCAACGGUGAAACUCAAAGGAAUUGACGGGGGCCCGCACAAGCGGAGGAACAUGUGGUUUAAUUCGAUGAUACGCGAGGAACCUUACCCGGGCUCAAACGGGAGAUGACGCGGGCAGAGACGCCCGUUUCUUAGGACAUCUUCCGAGGUGCUGCAUGGUUGUCGUCAGCUCGUGCCGUGAGGUGUCGGCUUAAGUGCCAUAACGAGCGCAACCCCUGCCGACAGUUGCUAACGCGUUGAGGCGAGGACUCUGUCGGGACUGCCGGCGCAAGCCGCGAGGAAGGCGGGGAUGACGUCAAAUCAGCACGGCCCUUACGUCCGGGGCGACACACGUGUUACAAUGGGGGGUACAGCGGGAAGCCAGGCGGCGACGCCGAGCGGAACCCGAAAGCCUCUCUCAGUUCGGAUCGGAGUCUGCAACCCGACUCCGUGAAGCUGGAUUCGCUAGUAAUCGCGCAUCAGCCAUGGCGCGGUGAGUACGUUCCCGGGCCUUGUACACACCGCCCGUCAAGCCAUGGGAGCCGGGGGUGCUUGAAGUGCGUCGCCUUGAGGCGCGCCCUAGAGCAAAACCGGUGACUGGGGCUAAGUCGUAACAAGGUAACCGUAA